UGGGGAAUAUUGCACAAUGGGCGCAAGCCUGAUGCAGCCAUGCCGCGUGUGUGAAGAAGGCCUUCGGGUUGUAAAGCACUUUCAGCGAGGAGGAAGGUGGUGAACUUAAUACGUUCAUCAAUUGACGUUACUCGCAGAAGAAGCACCGGCUAACUCCGUGCCAGCAGCCGCGGUAAUACGGAGGGUGCAAGCGUUAAUCGGAAUUACUGGGCGUAAAGCGCACGCAGGCGGUUUGUUAAGUCAGAUGUGAAAUCCCCGGGCUCAACCUGGGAACUGCAUUUGAAACUGGCAAGCUAGAGUCUCGUAGAGGGGGGUAGAAUUCCAGGUGUAGCGGUGAAAUGCGUAGAGAUCUGGAGGAAUACCGGUGGCGAAGGCGGCCCCCUGGACGAAGACUGACGCUCAGGUGCGAAAGCGUGGGGAGCAAACAGAUUAGAUACCCUGGUAGUCCACGCUGU
rnacentral:rRNA from 1 species